rnacentral:rRNA from 1 species
GACGUAGGGCGCGAGCGUUGUCCGGAUUUAUUGGGCGUAAAGAGCUCGUAGGCGGCUUGUCGCGUCGAAUGUGAAAACUCGGGGCUCAACUCCGAGCUUGCAUUCGAUACGGGCAGGCUAGAGUUCGGUAGGGGGAGACUGGAAUUCCGUGGUGUAGCGGUGAAAUGCGCAGAUAUCAGGAGGAACACCGGUGGCGAAGGCGGGUCUCUGGGCCGAUACUGACGCUGAGGAGCGAAAGCGUGGGGAGCGAACAGG